GCAUUGGUGGUUCAGUGGUACAAUCCUCGCCUGCCACGGGGGGGCCCGGGUUCGAUUCCCGGCCAAUGCA
rnacentral:tRNA from 1 species